rnacentral:rRNA from 1 species
UACGAAGGGGGCUAGCGUUGCUCGGAAUUACUGGGCGUAAAGCGCACGUAGGCGGAUUGUUAAGUCGGGGGUGAAAUCCUGGAGCUCAACUCCAGAACUGCCUUCGAUACUGACGAUCUCGAGUCCGGGAGAGGUGAGUGGAACUCCGAGUGUAGAGGUGAAAUUCGUAGAUAUUCGGAAGAACACCAGUGGCGAAGGCGGCUCACUGGCCCGGUACUGACGCUGAGGUGCGAAAGCGUGGGGAGCAAACAGG